UGCCGCAGAGAAACACGUACCGUUCAAACGCCAUUUUGAAAAACAGGCACCUUUAACUCGUUUUUCCAGAGGAGCAGUACACCAGCAUAUUUGCUCUUCCGUGAACGUUACUUUCAGUUCGCCUGAAAUAUAUUUUAUAUUCUUAAUUUAAUAACUCCGAAAUAUCGUGUAAAUGGCUAACAUGGCUAACCGAAAUCUUAAACAGGUUAAUAUACACAACAGCGCUCCGUCACCCAGACCCCAUAGCACCAGUCGCAAUUCGGAGUCGCCUGCCGCCGAACAAGGGCCAAAGAUGGAGGGACCAACAACGUCAACUACCGAUUCCAUUUCUGACUCUGGCGCUGGUGAGCCACUGGAGAUGACUCUUGACUUAAAAGGCUUCAGGAAACCAGGAGAGAAAACGUUUACUCAGCGCUGCAGGUUGUUUGUGGGUAAUCUCCCAACUGACUUGACGGGGGAGGAUUUCAAAAAGCUCUUUUCAAAAUAUGGAGAAGCCAACGAAGUGUUCAUCAACAGAGACCGGGGAUUCGGAUUCAUCCGGCUGGAAACCAGGAUGCUGGCGGAGAUCGCGAAAGCUGAGCUGGACGGAACCGUCAUGAGGAACCGUCCAAUCCGGAUCCGCUUCGCCACCCACGGUUCAGCGCUGACGGUGCGCAAUCUUUCCCAGACGGUGUCCAACGAGCUUCUGGAGCAGGCUUUCUCCCAGUUUGGACCCGUGGAAAGGGCCAUUGUCGUGGUUGAUGACCGUGGCAGACCGACUGGCAAAGGAUUCGUGGAGUUUGCUUCGAAACCUGCUGCCCGCAAGGCCUUGGAGCGCUGUGGGGAUGGGGCCCUUCUGCUGACAACGUCACCCCGUCCUGCUAUUGUUGAGCCAACAGAGCAGUUUGAUGAUGAAGACGGCCUACCCGAAAAGUUGCUGCAGAAAUCUGCACAAUAUCACAAGGAGAGGGAGCAGCCCCCACGCUUUGCCCAGCCGGGCACCUUUGAGUUUGAGUACUCCUCUCGCUGGAAGGCCCUGGAUGAGAUGGAGAAGCAGCAGCGUGAUCAGGUGGACCGGAAUAUCCGCGAGGCCAAGCAGAAACUGGAGGCCGAGAUGGAGGCCGCACGACACGAGCAUCAGCUCAUGAUGAUGAGACAAGAUCUAAUGAGGCGUCAGGAGGAGCUGAGACGUUUGGAAGAGCUGAGGAACCAGGAGCUUCAGAAGCGGAAGCACAUAGAAAUGAGGCACGAGGAGGAGAGGAGGAGGCGGGAGGAGGAAAUGAUGCGCCAUCGGGAGCAGGAGGAGAUGAGACGGCAACCGGACGGGUACAAGCCUAACUACAUGGACAGCGUGUUCUCUGGGAUGCUGAGGACAGCGGCGAUGUUACCUGUUUUGCUUCAGAUGAGUGGUGAGGACCCUGACCUCAGCUUCCGUGUACAUAGCUUACAUUUUUCACACUCGCAGGUGAAACGCACCCUUCCGAUCCAUCCAUCUGUUCGGCCAUCAGACAGAACAGAAGCAGGUUUCUCUUCACUGAAGACAGAAGGAAAAGUAACAGACUGAAACCCACUACUUUCCAUCUGAGCAACCAUUCACCUCUAAGGUCUGCUGCGAUGACUUUGACUUGUAAAUGGAUGGCGAUCGUGGGAUGAAUGACAGCAAUAUGUGUCAGAUACAACACGUGUUCCUUCUGUAAGCGAAAUAACUUGGAGAUGUAGCAUCCUCCACCUAAAGGCCUGUACACCUUUUCAACCCCAUCUGUGUAUUACACACGAUAUCAUCGUAUUUAGAACGGUAGUUCUCCCUCUGGGUUGCCCUGCUACACUGAGUGCUAUCACCAUAGAUUGAGCUUAGCCGAGACCCCAGGCCUGGCUCCUGAGCCCCCGUGCGUACCAGGAAGAUUGGCAGCUGGAACUUGUCGUUGAGCACCACGGCGUGGACACUGCAGGGUCCGCACAGCCUCGCCGUGAUCUCGCUCAGGAAGUUGGCGUGGAAGACGAAGAGGAGAAUCCCCGACCCUGCCGGAGAGAGAGACGAGACUCAGCAGCUCGCUCCAGCUUGGGAUGAAGCCGUUGGGAAGGGUUAAACCAGAGUUGCCAGUGCAGUUCCGAAAAUCACUCAAGACAAAGUAUAGGAGGAUUGUGAGAAGAACUGGGCGGGUAGCUGUCUGAGGGGGCGUGGGAUUCCGAUCUUUGGUCAGCCAAUAAUAUCAAGGUUUGUAGUAAAAGGUCCCGCAGAAAGCUAACCUAUAAGAAGGUAUGAAAUGCCAGCGCAAUAUAAUUGUUUUAUCUUUUGACAGCACUGCUGUCUUAAUUAUAAUGAACGAUAGUCAUUAUAAUUUACAAUACAUCAACAACCAUAAAAAAAACCAACCAAUGAGAUAGUUCCUUUUGAUAUAAUUUAUUAUUUGAAGAGUAUCACAUUAAGAAUGAGUAUACAACCAUUUCAAUUUAUGCACUACAUUAACUAUGUAAGUAAAUUGAUCUGAUAUCCUUCUUCACAGCACACAAUUUCCCACUUUAGGACCAGGGCAGGGCAUGCCAAAGCUUGUUCUACAAAGUCUAAUAGCCUUGUGCCAGGGAUUUCCUUUAGUCAAAUGCAACUAUAGCCCUGUGGCUCCCACAGCCAAACCAGAUGCUGCCUACAUUUCUCCAAGGAGGAGGACACAUUAAAAAGUUUUCUUUGUACCAAAUCUCCACGAGCAUUUACAUUUUAGGCAUUUAGUAGACACUAAUACACACAGAGCUAUACAGCUGACAUUCUAUUUACAUACAAUUCAACUAUGCAGCUGGGCAUUUACUGAUGUAAUA